GCGCCAGAGGGCUGCCCCUCGGCCGGUGACCGAGUUAAGCACCGAGCUGUAAAUCGCUUGAGACCUGUAUUUGGUUGUUUUGUUGGUUUUGCCAAGUAAGGUCACUUGAGGAUUUCUUGGCUCGAGGUCCCAGGUUGCGCAGACUCUGACUGCAUCGAGUUGAGAAUUUUGGUCAGAAUGUUAAAGUGGAAACCUACCCCAGGCUGUCAUGAGAUGGGGUCCCACUAUAUUGACCAGGCUGGUCUGUAACUCCGGGCCUCAAGGGAUCUUCCCAACUCCACCUCUCAAAGUGCUGGAUUACAGCCUGAGCCACUGGACCUGGCUACUGUCCAUUCUUUGAUGAAGACAAAGUUUACCCUGAAAUCCUGUUCAGAUGUGGGAAGACCUCUAAGCAGGAAGAGACACAGGUAACUGUAAAUACAGGACUGAAGAAAACAGAUUAACCUGCUCAAGCUAAUUUCAGAAGGUUUAUACACCCAAGAAAAGUCAUUCAAACAAGCCUUAAGGUUAUUCAUAUACUACUCAAAUGUGGAAUCCCUAUUUCCUUUAAACGUGUAAUACAAUUAUAUUUUCUUUAAUAUUAAUUUUGCUUCCUCCUUAGAAGGAAACCUACUUAUCUGUAAAUUACAUUUCAAAUCUAAUUAUCCUGUCAAUUUGCAGAUGGCUUAAUAAAGAAAAACAAUUGCAUGCCAGAUUUAAUCUGACUCUUUGGAUCUUUUGUAAUUUCAGUUAAGAUAUUACAUAGAGUGGUUACAAUAGCACAAUACUGGAAUAAAACAAAUGAAGGAUCUUUUUUUUAGUGGAAGAGGAAAAUAUAAGACACAAUGAAAACAACCCAGCUUAAAAGCCCUCAAAAUUAAGGUUACAGGAAAAAGGGAAAAUCAGGUGAAAUGUAUAGGUAUUUAAUUAGUCUUUGGAGUGGUAUAAAAGCUUAUUCUUUUUAAAAGUUGUAACAAACAUUGGCAACACUCCACUCUAUCUCACUGCUAUUCUUGCUUUAUCAGAAAGCUAUCUUUGAAACCUCUUGGCUAGGAAGGUGACAAUUCCUCUAGGUUUCCAUUAUAACUUCAUGCCUAAUGUCAUAUUUACAGCACUGCAUUAUGACUAUUAUUAAUACUAUUAUUGUAAAAGCCUCCUUAUUAGUCUUUCUAGUUCUGCCCUUGUCCUACUGUAGUUUCAACACUAUAGUCAAAACAACGUUGUGUCUGAUCACGUGAAUACCCUGGUCAAAAUCCUCCACUGUCUUCUCAUUUCACGUGGAGUAAAAGCCACAGUAUGGCCUAUUAUGCCUUACGUCACUCCAUACCACCUAUAGGCCCCUUAGGAUUAACUAUCCGACCUUAUCAACUCUUCCCUUUGCUCUCUCCAUCCAGUCAUAUUGGCUCCUUUAUGUUCAUCAGAUUUAAUAGGCAUGUUCCUGCCUCAGCGUAUCUUCUUGGAACACUCUUCUCUCCAUAGUCAUCUCCUCUGGGCCAUGCUGAAAUGUCAGCUGAGUGCCCCAAAUGAAAUAACACUCAGUGCCCUCCCCCUCCACUCCCUAUUUCUUUUAUCCAAUUUUGUUUUUUCUCCAUUACACUUAUAUCUGACAAUAUAUUGUCAUGUUUACUUGCUUAUAGUGUCUUCUUUUCCACCAGAAUGUAAGUAAGCUCCAUGGAGGCAAGGGACUUUUUGUUCAGUGCUAUAUCCUGAGUGCCUGGCACAGAAUUCAAUGAAUACUUAUCAGAUAAAUGAAUAAUCUGUUCAAGUGUAGUUCAUACUGAAAAGAUUUGGAAUCUUGAGAUCUCUGGAACAUAAUAUAUACUGAAUAAAUAUUUAUGAAUUAAAAGGUAAAGAUGGCCAAAUCUUACACUGAAAAUACAUAAAAAUUAAAAAAGGGUAAAAAUAUGCAUCCACACAUUAAUAUCUUGGUACAUACCUGUUUGAAUUCUGAAUCUUUUCCCAACAUAACUUGAAGACUGUAAAUAACUGGAUCACCUUUCAUUGGCUGUAAACACUCCCAUGUAAUUUCACAAAUGUGAUCAUUUACUUUCUCUAUUUUGGGGGCUGUAGGAAACAAAUAUAAAUAAUAUCUGUUCCACUUGAUUUUUAAUUUGGUACAUCAUGCAGACACUUGUCUUAAUAAAAAUCAACAAAUAUUUAAAAUCCACUUAUAAACUUGAAAUAAGUAUCAGUGAAUUUUUGAAAUUUGCAUCCAAAGAGGUUAAAAUCAGCACUCUUGUAUUCUAAGAUAUGGGAUCUCACUCUGUCACCCAGCCUGGACAACAGUGGUGCGAUCAUAGCUCAAUGCAGCCUCAGCCUCCUGUGCAGCUACACACACAGGCAUAUGCUGCCAUGCCCAGCUGAUUCAAAAUUUCUUUUGUAGAGAGGCAGGUCUCAGUAUGUUGCCCACGUUGGUCUCAAUACUCCUGGCCUUAAGUGAGCCUCCCACUUCAGUCUCCCAAAGCACUGGGCUUAUAGGUGUGAGCCACUGUGCCCUGCUUAUAGUCAGCACUCUUCUUAAAGCUAAGAGACACUAAACUUGAUGAGCAAACAGAAAAAUGACUCAGUGAAACUCAAUAUUAUUAGAAAGACUAGUCAAGAAGAGUUCUGCUGUUUAACAAAUGAUAGGUUUAAGUACAUGAUCUAGGAUAUGGUUCUAGAAGUCUCUGU
rnacentral:lncRNA from 10 species